rnacentral:rRNA from 1 species
AACGCUAGCUACAGGCUUAACACAUGCAAGUCGAGGGGAAACGACAUCGAAAGCUUGCUUUUGAUGGGCGUCGACCGGCGCACGGGUGAGUAACGCGUAUCCAACCUGCCCACCACUUGGGGAUAACCUUGCGAAAGUAAGACUAAUACCCAAUGAUAUCUCUAGAAGACAUCUGAAAGAGAUUAAAGAUUUAUCGGUGAUGGAUGGGGAUGCGUCUGAUUAGCUUGUUGGCGGGGUAACGGCCCACCAAGGCAACGAUCAGUAGGGGUUCUGAGAGGAAGGUCCCCCACAUUGGAACUGAGACACGGUCCAAACUCCUACGGGAGGCAGCAGUGAGGAAUAUUGGUCAAUGGACGAGAGUCUGGACCAGCCAAGUAGCGUGCAGGAUGACGGCCCUAUGGGUUGUAAACUGCUUUUAUAAGGGAAUAAAGUGAGCCUCGUGAGGCUUUUUGCAUGUACCUUAUGAAUAGGGACCGGCUAAUUCCGUGCCAGCAGCCGCGGUAAUACGGAAGGUCCGGGCGUUAUCCGGAUUUAUUGGGUUUAAAGGGAGCGUAGGCCGGAGAUUAAGCGUGUUGUGAAAUGUAGACGCUCAACGUCUGCACUGCAGCGCGAACUGGUUUCCUUGAGUACGCACAAAGUGGGCGGAAUUCGUGGUGUAGCGGUGAAAUGCUUAGAUAUCACGAAGAACUCCGAUUG